UGCAAGUCGAGGGGUAUGCUUCUUCGGGAGCAGAGACCGGCGCACGGGUGCGUAACGCGUAUGCAAUCUACCUUUUACAGAGGGAUAGCCCAGAGAAAUUUGGAUUAAUACCUCAUAGUAUAUAGACUCGGCAUCGAGAUUAUAUUAAAGUCACAACGGUAAAAGAUGAGCAUGCGUCCCAUUAGCUAGUUGGUAAGGUAACGGCUUACCAAGGCUACGAUGGGUAGGGGUCCUGAGAGGGAGAUCCCCCACACUGGUACUGAGACACGGACCAGACUCCUACGGGAGGCAGCAGUGAGGAAUAUUGGACAAUGGGCGCAAGCCUGAUCCAGCCAUGCCGCGUGCAGGAUGACGGUCCUAUGGAUUGUAAACUGCUUUUGUACAGGAAGAAACACUGGUUCGUGAACCAGCUUGACGGUACUGUAAGAAUAAGGAUCGGCUAACUCCGUGCCAGCAGCCGCGGUAAUACGGAGGAUCCAAGCGUUAUCCGGAAUCAUUGGGUUUAAAGGGUCCGUAGGCGGUUUAAUAAGUCAGUGGUGAAAGCCCAUCGCUCAACGGUGGAACGGCCAUUGAUACUGUUAAACUUGAAUUAUUAGGAAGUAACUAGAAUAUGUAGUGUAGCGGUGAAAUGCUUAGAGAUUACAUGGAAUACCAAUUGCGAAGGCAGGUUACUACUAAUUGAUUGACGCUGAUGGACGAAAGCGUGGGUAGCGAACAGGAUUAGAUACCCUGGUAGUCCACGCCGUAAACGAUGGAUACUAGCUGUUGGGAGCAAUCUCAGUGGCUAAGCGAAAGUGAUAAGUAUCCCACCUGGGGAGUACGUUCGCAAGAAUGAAACUCAAAGGAAUUGACG
rnacentral:rRNA from 1 species